UGACAAUUGAAUUUUCUUUUAAGGAGCCAUUUUAGAUCGCAGCUGUAUGUGGCUGGAUCAAGGAAUUACCCAAGAUGCAAUCCACGGACCACAUGAAGCUCAAGAAGAACCAGACCCAGCACAUGACAAGUGACCCAUGACCCAUGAAACCACCAAGCAAAGUGAACUAUUCUUCGAGUUGAUUUAUUUCUGGCAUCUCAUCACAGAAAUGAACCGCUCACAAAGAAGUGGUCAGAACAUGCAAUCUCAUACUGUAGUCAAGAAACAUAGGUCUGGAGGGUGAAGGCAGACAGUGUCUCUGCUGAGCCUUGGAGAGCCCGGGGCGCAUUCCUUGACUCUUCCUUCUCAGGUGAUCUCAUUUGGUCAUGUGCUACUUAGUGUUGUCUGUAUACCAAACAUGCUCUAAGUUACAGUUUCAAGUUGAGACUUUCCCUGAGCCCCAGAGUAUGUCAAAUGAGACCUUCAACUCAUCUUUUGGAUGUUUUGUGGGCAAUAGAAAAUUAAUACAGCUGUCCUGAGUGGUCACUCUCUCAAAUCCACCUUCUACCAUGCCCCAAUUACCUUAACAAAUAGUGCUACCAUUCACUCCGUGCUUUAGGUCCACAUUAUAAGAG
ensembl:lncRNA